CUAUGCUAUACAUGCAGUCGAGCGGACAGAUGGGAGCUUGCUCCCUGAUGUUAGCGGCGGACGGGUGAGUAACACGUGGGUAACCUGCCUGUAAGACUGGGAUAACUCCGGGAAACCGGGGCUAAUACCGGAUGGUUGUUUGAACCGCAUGGUUCAGACAUAAAAGGUGGCUUCGGCUACCACUUACAGAUGGACCCGCGGCGCAUUAGCUAGUUGGUGAGGUAACGGCUCACCAAGGCGACGAUGCGUAGCCGACCUGAGAGGGUGAUCGGCCACACUGGGACUGAGACACGGCCCAGACUCCUACGGGAGGCAGCAGUAGGGAAUCUUCCGCAAUGGACGAAAGUCUGACGGAGCAACGCCGCGUGAGUGAUGAAGGUUUUCGGAUCGUAAAGCUCUGUUGUUAGGGAAGAACAAGUGCCGUUCAAAUAGGGCGGCACCUUGACGGUACCUAACCAGAAAGCCACGGCUAACUACGUGCCAGCAGCCGCGGUAAUACGUAGGUGGCAAGCGUUGUCCGGAAUUAUUGGGCGUAAAGGGCUCGCAGGCGGUUUCUUAAGUCUGAUGUGAAAGCCCCCGGCUCAACCGGGGAGGGUCAUUGGAAACUGGGGAACUUGAGUGCAGAAGAGGAGAGUGGAAUUCCACGUGUAGCGGUGAAAUGCGUAGAGAUGUGGAGGAACACCAGUGGCGAAGGCGACUCUCUGGUCUGUAACUGACGCUGAGGAGCGAAAGCGUGGGGAGCGAACAGGAUUAGAUACCCUGGUAGUCCACGCCGUAAACGAUGAGUGCUAAGUGUUAGGGGGUUUCCGCCCCUUAGUGCUGCAGCUAACGCAUUAAGCACUCCGCCUGGGGAGUACGGUCGCAAGACUGAAACUCAAAGGAAUUGACGGGGGCCCGCACAAGCGGUGGAGCAUGUGGUUUAAUUCGAAGCAACGCGAAGAACCUUACCAGGUCUUGACAUCCUCUGACAAUCCUAGAGAUAGGACGUCCCCUUCGGGGGCAGAAUGACAGGUGGUGCAUGGGUGUCGUCAGCUCGCGUCUGGAGA
rnacentral:rRNA from 1 species